rnacentral:rRNA from 1 species
UACAGAGGUCUCAAGCGUUGUUCGGAUUCAUUGGGCGUAAAGGGUGCGUAGGUGGCGCCGUAAGUCGGGUGUGAAAUUUCGGAGCUUAACUCCGAAACUGCAUUCGAUACUGCGGUGCUUGAGGACUGGAGAGGAGACUGGAAUUCCUGGUGUAGCGGUGAAAUGCGUAGAUAUCAGGAGGAAUACCUAUGGCGAAAGCAAGUUUCUGGGCCAUCACUGACGCUGAGCUGCGAAAGCUAGGGGAGCAAACAGG